rnacentral:rRNA from 1 species
UCCGUAGGUGAACCUGCGGAAGGAUCAUUAUUGAAUAUUCUUGAUGAGUUGUAGCUGGCUCUCCGGGGCAUGUGCACGCUUGUCUUGACUCUAUUCAUCCACCUGUGCACCUUUUGUAGUCUUGGGGGUUGAAAGCAGUCGACUAUCGGAUGGCUACGGCUACUCCGGAUGUGAGAAAUGCUGAGCGCAGAGACGCAUACAGCUCUUCUCAAAUGACUUGCAUACCCUUGAGUACUAUGUAUUCAUAUACCAUGUCGUAUGUUGCAGAAUGUGAUCAAUGGGUCUAUGUACCUAUAAUAAUCAUAUACAACUUUCAGCAACGGAUCUCUUGGCUCUCGCAUCGAUGAAGAACGCAGCGAAAUGCGAUAAGUAAUGUGAAUUGCAGAAUUCAGUGAAUCAUCGAAUCUUUGAACGCACCUUGCGCUCCUUGGUAUUCCGAGGAGCAUGCCUGUUUGAGUGUCAUUAAAUUCUCAACCCCUCCAGCCUUUGCGAGUUGUGAUGGGGCUUGGAUAUGGGAGUUUGCGGGUCCUUUAUCAGUAAAGGUCGGCUCUCCUGAAAUACAUUAGCGGAACCGUUUGCAGUCCCGUCACUAGUGUGAUAAUUAUCUACACUGUGAUGAUUGCUCUCUGACUAGUUCAGCUGCUAAUCGUCCGGUAUGGACAACAUUUAAUGAACUUCUUGACCUCAAAUCAGGUAGGACUACCCGCUGAACUUAAGCAUAUCAAUAAGCGGAGGAAAAGAAACUAACAAGGAUUCCCCUAGUAACUGCGAGUGAAGCGGGAAAAGCUCAAAUUUAAAAUCUGGCAGUCUAUGGCUGUCCGAGUUGUAAUCUAGAGAAGUGAUGCCCGCGCUGGACCGUGUACAAGUCUCCUGGAAUGGAGCGUCAUAGAGGGUGAGAAUCCCGUCUCUGACACGGACUACCAGGGCUUUGUGGUAUGCUCUCAAAGAGUCGAGUUGUUUGGGAAUGCAGCUCUAAAUGGGUGGUAAAUUCCAUCUAAAGCUAAAUAUUGGCGAGAGACCGAUAGCGAACAAGUACCGUGAGGGAAAGAUGAAAAGAACUUUGGAAAGAGAGUUAAACAGUACGUGAAAUUGCUGAAAGGGAAACGCUUGAAGU